CCAAUUAGUAAAUUGACUAUUGGUAAUAAAUUACUUUGUUUGGUAUCUCAUAUGAGGGAAAGAAAUAGUAAUUGACAGAAGUGGUGGUAUAAGCUGAAUUAGUCCCCUUUAUAGAUUGAGGCUUAUUUCAAAUUUAAUUGCAUGACUGAUCCAAAUUGAUACACUUAAUAUCAUCAUCAUCUUUCCUUUGGGUUCCUCAUGGAACAUAGGGCCUCAGCAAAAACACGCCACUCUCCACGGUCUCAUGCUAAUUUUUUU